CUUCGGGGGGACGCUUACCACUUUGUGGUUCAUGACUGGGGUGAAGUCGUAACAAGGUAGCGCUAGGGGAACCUGGCGCUGGAUCACCUCCUUAUACGAUGAU
rnacentral:rRNA from 1 species